rnacentral:tmRNA from 1 species
GGGGCUGAUCGGUUUCGACAGCGCCUGCGAAUCCGCGAGAAGCGGGCCGAGGAUGUGGGGUUAUCUCGUAAACGCUCCCUGCAAAACAAUAAGUGCCAAUGCUAAGCGCACUGACUUCGCCCUCGCUGCCUAAGCGAGCCCGAUAGUCCGUCAGACCGUGUGUGACCCCGCCACGGAUCCUGGCGUCAUUUAGGGGUCUUGCUGUGUGACGGCGUCCGGACGUCACGCGGGACUCUUCCCGGACUGGGCCUGUCGACUUAGGUGUCUGUGACAAAGGUCGGGGCCGAGCAGAACGUCUGCACAGACUGCGCCCGGAGAAAACGCGGAGACCCAGCGUUGGACGGGGGUUCGAUUCCCCCCAGCUCCACGA